rnacentral:rRNA from 1 species
GAUGAACGCUGGCGGCGUGCCUAAUACAUGCAAGUCGAGCGAACAGACGAGGAGCUUGCUCCUCUGACGUUAGCGGCGGACGGGUGAGUAACACGUGGAUAACCUACCUAUAAGACUGGGAUAACUUCGGGAAACCGGAGCUAAUACCGGAUAAUAUAUUGAACCGCAUGGUUCAAUAGUGAAAGACGGUUUUGCUGUCACUUAUAGAUGGAUCCGCGCCGCAUUAGCUAGUUGGUAAGGUAACGGCUUACCAAGGCAACGAUGCGUAGCCGACCUGAGAGGGUGAUCGGCCACACUGGAACUGAGACACGGUCCAGACUCCUACGGGAGGCAGCAGUAGGGAAUCUUCCGCAAUGGGCGAAAGCCUGACGGAGCAACGCCGCGUGAGUGAUGAAGGUCUGCGGAUCGUAAAACUCUGUUAUUAGGGAAGAACAAAUGUGUAAGUAACUAUGCACGUCUGGACGGUACCUAAGCAGAAAGCCACGGCCAACUACGG